rnacentral:lncRNA from 1 species
CAGCAUAUAUUGAUGCUCCAUGUGGUGCACUGAGAAUAAAUUCGGCAGAAGGUGACAUUUGGCCUCGUUGUGAUGAUCAAGGUUUCUUCGAACCUCUGCAGUGUGACCCCAGUAGGAGCGAGUGUUGGUGUGUUGACAGAUUGGGCAAUGUGAAGCCAGGAUCAAGGCGUAUUUCACAGAAACCUCAGUGUGGUAACAGCGGCACUCUACAAGGUAAAGCAAGAAAAAGCUUAUAAACCAUAUGGUUAAUCUGUGAGUAAAACGUGGAGCUUCGGUCUGUAUAUAGCCUGCGUGCAGUCCCAGUACGCAGGCUAGUCUGUAUACGGCAUUGUCGAUUUCGUCUUACGUUUUCAUUUGAAGUUUGGAGCUUUCUUAUAGCAUUUGAAACUAUCUACGACUAGAAACCCAACAACAUGAUAUCCAACAAGGUCCUUCCAUCUACAAGAUCCAUCUACAAGAUCCAUCUACAAGAACAUUUCCAUUUACAAGACCCUUCAAUUAUUAUUGAAUCGAGUGAGAUGCCAACAAAUUCUCAAUAUUUCCCAUAACCUAAACGUGGCAGUGCCCUAGUGUAUAUACAUGAACUUGUGGUUAGAGCUCGACAACUGGCCUCUGUAGUUCACUUGGUUAGAGAGCUGCACCAGAACCGCAGGGCCGCAGGUUCGAUUCCUGCAAGGGACCUGUAGUUGCAUUUUCGUAGAGCUCUGUUCCUGGUUAGGUCUAAUAAAUGUAUAUACAUUUCCACUCGAUAAUUUCCAUCUACAAUUAAGACCCUUAACUAACCAACAAGUAGACCAAUUGUACAUGUCAGAUGAUAGUUUUUGAUAGCCUAUAGGUAGCCAGUUUCAUAAGUACACGUGGAGGGCAUUAGAAUACUUAAAAGCUUAACAUUUUGAACAGGCUAAAACGUUUAAGCUUAAAAUACUUAUCUCAUUAGAAUCUCAUUUCCUCCAUCUGCUUUUGUGUUAAAGUCUCGUGAGCAACGAUAGCAAGUUUUUUCCAAUCAAUUUUUCAUUGACAAGUUUUAAAGCUGUCUACGAUACCUGAUAUUUCAAAAGCGAAUUUCAAAAUAAUCGUGAUUGAUAAAUUAAUAGCAAUGGCCUUUCGAAGAUGAGUGCGUAGUGACGUAUUUACACAAUUACUUGUCAGGUUUCCUGGAUGAAAAGCUGCCAUGACCGGGUACCUACAUUCUGCAGCUUUGGAACACGACUCCUUGUCUAGGAAAAACUUGUCAAUUGUGGUUGACUGACGAACGAAUAGAACUUGCAUCAUCAUGCUCGUCUGUACGAGGCUGAAACUAUUCACAGUAACAGAGCAUCAAGCAAGCAUCGCUAAUUUUAACAACUCAUCCUUCUAGCAAAACCAAAAAUGUAGUAACGAUCGCGCUGCUAACAAAAGCAAAAACAAAUAAUACAGAUUACAGGCCUGGCAAAAUAAUUAUCCGAGUCAUUACCUUCAGUGUCUAAAUACUCUAAAAUAGAUUAUUUCUAUUUCUUAGUUUCUUCUAAACCAUGAAAGAACAUCGUGUCCCAAAGGAUGAAAGCAUACAGCACAGGAUACAUUUUGGAGUAUACCGAGUAUAUAGACCUUCAUUUCUCAGAUUUCUUAGAUUUUGUAUGAAUUGUAUACAUGCAUGAAAGAGUAAUGUACUUAUACUAGUGAUGUUACAUUUGUACUUAUUAUACUUAGUGAUUUUACAUUUUAAAACAUGAAAUGAUUACCUGUUUUAUGUAAAAUUACAGUUUAAUUUCUGAACAAGGGCAACAUUACACGAGUGGCUACCAUAUAAUACAUAUCAUGUAAUUAUUAUUCUGUAUUGCAAACUGACUUUAAAAGAAAGAACGAGUGGCAUGUAUGAUUGACGUGCUGCCCUUAAAUCUUAAUGUUUGAAAAUCAUGUAAGUGGAGUUUGGUUGGUUCUCUCCUCUACGAGGUUUUCCUCCCUCACUAACGCACGAAAGUAAACGGAUCUGACCAAAUCCAGUCAAUUGAGGCUAUUGGGCCAGGAAAAUGUGAAGCUCUAAGCUCUGAGUGCAAUAUCUUAUAUUCCGAGCAACUGUAGCGUCGUGUGAGGGUCUGGGUAAAGCUAGGACGAAUUUUUCACUAGAAUCAACAACUGAUUCAGAAAAGAUUGUGACUCUAUCUUUGCAACCGUUACGACCAUAUCGUACUGAUGAUAUGGUCGUAUAAGAACAAGGAAAUUAGGACAUGGACAGCAAGAACUGGAAAUUAGGUAUAAUUCAGAGAUACUUUGACAGUGACUUAGGAUAAAUCGGGCUGAGACGACGGAAUGUGAAGAU